CUCCCUAAUUUGAUCUCAUCUUCGUGCUCCGCCACCGGACUCCAGUCCUCCAAGUCUCCAACCUCUCCUCUCCUCUCCUCUCGGCCUGACCAUCACAAUGAAGAAGGGUAAAUUGAACCCAUCGAAGCGGGGCUCAACUGGUCGUGGUGCUGCGAUCAGUGCAAUGGACAAAUCGUCCUCAUCUUCUCAGGUAUUUUUUUUUCUUUUCGGAAUGUCCUCAUCUUCUCUAUUGUAUAUAAACUUUGGAAAAUCAUAAGUAUUUGUAGAGAAAUCAUUUUGCUGCGAUUCCAAUUCUCAAAUAAUCUUUAGGUUGUCUAUUACAAUUGUUAUGAAGAGACCAACUUGAAAUUUUUAGCCGAGCUAUACUGUUUUUAGCCAAAAAGGUCUGCUGGUCAGGAAGACAGGAACUCAGGAAGUUAGCAGUUUUUCUCUACUGUAUAGGAAUUUUGGAAAAUAAUAAGUAUUUGUAGAAAAUUCUUUUUACUGCGAUUCCAGUUCUCAAAUAAUCUUUAGGUUGUCUGUUACAAUUGUUGUGAAGAGACCAACUUGAAAUUCUUAGCCGAGCUAUACUGUUUUUAACCAAAAAUGUCUGCUGGUUAGGAACUCAGGAAGUUAGCAGUUUUUUUCUACUGUAUAUGAACUUUGGAAAAUCAUAAGUAUUUGUAGAAAAAUUCUUUUGCUGCGAUUCCAGUUCUCAAAUAAUGUUUAGGUUGUCUGUUACAAUUGUUAUGAAGAGACCAACCUGAAAUUCUUAGCCGAGAUAUACUGUGUUUAGCCAAAAAAGGUCUGCUGGUCAGGAACUCAGGAAGUUAGCAGUUUUUCUCUACUGUAUACGAACUUUGGAAAAUCAUAAGUAUUUGUAGAAUAACCCUUUUGCUGCGAUUCUAGUUCUCAAAUAAUCUUUAGGUUGUUUGUUACAAUUGUUAUGAAGAGACCAACCUGAAAUUCUUAGCCGAGCUAUACUGUUUUUAGCCAAAAAGGUCUGCUGGUCAGGAAGUUAGGCAUACAUUUUCUGAUUUUGUUCCUUUGCUCUUAGUCUCAAUGUUUGCUAAAUGAUUCUUGCUUGAUUUGGUCUAUAAUACUUAACUUGUUUAAAUUGAUUUAUUUUUUUAUGCAGAUGCAAGUUGAUAGUGUUGGUGUUGGUGAAUCGGCAACUCCGACACCGGUUCCUUGUUUUGUGAUGUAUAAACUUUUAACAUUAGACUCUAUUUGUAUUUUGUAAUUUAUGGACUUUUGAGUUUAACCAUAUAGAAGUAUGGAGUAUGAACUAUGAAGUAUAAACUUUAUAAUUUGUGUUUAAGAUGUAUGGACUUUAACUAUGGACAUUCAAACUAUUUUUAGUGUUUUGAUUGUUUUUGUAUACAUUUGGUUAGUGGUUAUAUUGAUAUAUAGUUUUGAAAAUGCUAAAAGCAAGAAAGGUGGAGGAGCUGUUAAUUUUUUUGUUACAGUUAAAUCAUAGUCAGAAAAUUUUACAGUUUCUAUAAA
rnacentral:lncRNA from 1 species